UUGCGACGGAAGAGAAGAGCAGUGAUUUAAUACUGUACGUUUAGUCAUUCUUUACAUUUAAAUACAUGCAAAUAGUUCAUUAACUGGAACAAGUGUUUGCGUCAUUAUCUAAAAAAAAGACUAAAAAGAAGAAAGACUGGAAGAUGAACAAUGAUGAGCAGAACACUGUGCUUUACAAAAAUCUGCAAGAAAAUACAAAGGGACAUCAUAUUCCUAGCGCUCAUGAGAACACAUGUGCACAAAUAAGUCUGUACAACAACAAAGCCUGACAAAUCCUGUCGAGAGACAAAGAAAACUGACUAUGCAGCACAAAAGGAACAGAGUCGAACCCCUCAGAUUGACAACCAACAUGCUGACACAAGUUUCAAUAAA